AAAUUGAAGAGUUUGAUCAUGGCUCAGAUUGAACGCUGGCGGCAGGCCUAACACAUGCAAGUCGAACGGUAGCACAGAGAGCUUGCUCUCGGGUGACGAGUGGCGGACGGGUGAGUAAUGUCUGGGAAACUGCCCGAUGGAGGGGGAUAACUACUGGAAACGGUAGCUAAUACCGCAUAACGUCGCAAGACCAAAGUGGGGGACCUUCGGGCCUCACACCAUCGGAUGUGCCCAGAUGGGAUUAGCUAGUAGGUGGGGUAACGGCUCACCUAGGCGACGAUCCCUAGCUGGUCUGAGAGGAUGACCAGCCACACUGGAACUGAGACACGGUCCAGACUCCUACGGGAGGCAGCAGUGGGGAAUAUUGCACAAUGGGCGCAAGCCUGAUGCAGCCAUGCCGCGUGUAUGAAGAAGGCCUUCGGGUUGUAAAGUACUUUCAGCGAGGAGGAAGGCGUUGUGGUUAAUAACCACAGCGAUUGACGUUACUCGCAGAAGAAGCACCGGCUAACUCCGUGCCAGCAGCCGCGGUAAUACGGAGGGUGCAAGCGUUAAUCGGAAUUACUGGGCGUAAAGCGCACGCAGGCGGUUUGUUAAGUCAGAUGUGAAAUCCCCGGGCUCAACCUGGGAACUGCAUUUGAAACUGGCAAGCUUGAGUCUCGUAGAGGGGGGUAGAAUUCCAGGUGUAGCGGUGAAAUGCGUAGAGAUCUGGAGGAAUACCGGUGGCGAAGGCGGCCCCCUGGACAAAGACUGACGCUCAGGUGCGAAAGCGUGGGGAGCAAACAGGAUUAGAUACCCUGGUAGUCCACGCCGUAAACGAUGUCUACUUGGAGGUUGUGCCCUUGAGGCGUGGCUUCCGGAGCUAACGCGUUAAGUAGACCGCCUGGGGAGUACGGCCGCAAGGUUAAAACUCAAAUGAAUUGACGGGGGCCCGCACAAGCGGUGGAGCAUGUGGUUUAAUUCGAUGCAACGCGAAGAACCUUACCUGGUCUUGACAUCCACGGAAGUUUUCAGAGAUGAGAAUGUGCCUUCGGGAACCGUGAGACAGGUGCUGCAUGGCUGUCGUCAGCUCGUGUUGUGAAAUGUUGGGUUAA
rnacentral:rRNA from 1 species